rnacentral:tRNA from 1 species
UGGCGCUCCGGCUGGGCGCCGGGCUGCGGGCCUAGCGCGCCGGCAUCAGGCCUGGUUCAUGGCCGCGGCGCGCCGCCC